GCGGCAAAAGCUCAAAUUUGAAAUCUGGCACUUUCAGUGUCCGAGUUGUAAUUUGAAGAAGGUAUCUUUGGGUCUGGCUCUUGUCUAUGUUUCUUGGAACAGAACGUCACAGAGGGUGAGAAUCCCGUGCGAUGAGAUGUCCCAGACCUAUGUAAAGUUCCUUCGAAGAGUCGAGUUGUUUGGGAAUGCAGCUCUAAGUGGGUGGUAAAUUCCAUCUAAAGCUAAAUAUUGGCGAGAGACCGAUAGCGAACAAGUACAGUGAUGGAAAGAUGAAAAGAACUUUGAAAAGAGAGUGAAAAAGUACGUGAAAUUGUUGAAAGGGAAGGGCUUGAGAUCAGACUUGGUAUUUUGUAUGUUACUCUCUCGGGGGUGGCCUCUACAGUUUACCGGGCCAGCAUCAGUUUGGGCGGUAGGACAAUUGCAAAGAAAUGUGGCACUGCCUCGGUAGUGUGUUAUAGUCUUUGUCGAUACUGCCAGCCUAGACUGAGGACUGCGGCUUCGGCCUAGGAUGUUGGCAUAAUGAUCUUAAGUCGCCCGUCUUGA
rnacentral:rRNA from 1 species